GACAGAGGGUGCAAACGUUGUUCGGAAUUACUGGGCGUAAAGCGCGUGUAGGCGGCCCGGAAAGUCGGAUGUGAAAGCCCUGGGCUUAACCUAGGAAGUGCAUUCGAAACUGCUGGGCUUGAGUUCUGGAGAGGAAGGCGGAAUUCCCAGUGUAGAGGUGAAAUUCGUAGAUAUUGGGAAGAACACCGGUGGCGAAGGCGGCUCUCUGGACCGAUACUGACGCUGAGGCGCGAAAGCGUGGGGAGCAAACAGG
rnacentral:rRNA from 1 species